CUGCAACCUUGUGCUUCUGCAACCUCAACUUGGUUCUUCUGCAACCUCUAAUCUUGUAAUUCAUUCUUAUUUUAAAAGCCUUCUGCAAAUCCAUGGUCACCGAUCUGACGAAGCUGAUGUGAACGCCGAGGCCACGAUGCUUACCAGAACAUUCAAGACACAUGAAGAUGCCAUAUGAUACCAAAGCCCACUAUGGUUUCUUCUGAGAGGCAGCCAUCGAUGUCCGAUCCUGGGGAGCGGUUCUCUCUGAACCGACCAUGACUUUGGGGUUGGAUUACAGAUUCACUCAUUCUCUGUGUUCUGGUGACCUCGCACGAGCUCUCCUCUCUGCCUCACCUCUUUCUCUGUUACCGCUCAUUCUUCCUCCUUCCAAUUUCAACUUCCAUCUUCCAUCUUCAAAAUUGCUUCUGCUUCCAAGGGUUUCCCUUCUCUCAUUCUCUUCCUCUGCAAAAAGAGAUUCUUCUUCCAGGGGUUUCCCUUCUCUUUGAAUUAUAGUAGUCUAAAUUGGAAGGGAGAAACAUAAGAGCUUCGACUGGUUCGAUUAGCAAGGAAGAAGAGAAAGAAAGAAAAAGAGAGAGAGAGAGAUGUAAUCUGAAAGUUGAAUCUCUCUCAAAAGAGAUUUAUUUUCAAAGCUAUCUAAAGACCAUUCCCAAAAUCAAUAAAAAGUUGAUAAAAUCACUAGACAAUGCAGAAAGUAUCUGUUGUGGAUGUUGACCUGGUGCCUCCUCCUCCAUGGAAAGCAAGACCCUUGAUCUUGGACUACAACAAUCUCCUUUAAAAGCUAAGUAAUGAUUCAGUUUGUUUUAUUCCUAGACUAACAAAUAGAAGUUCUCAUGAAUUCCCAAAGUAUGGUGAGGAAAGUUAUUAUCAUGCCUGUUUGAGGACUCUGUUUUUCUGUUUUUUUUAUCUGUUCAAAUCUAAUUAUGAUUACUUUUCAGAAGAAAAAAAAAAAAGUGACAAGCAGUACUGGAAUCUAUAAUAAAUUACAUCUCACAUUUAGCUGAGUAUGGCAUUCUUUGUUAUCUUAAAUCAAGAAGAAAAUGAAAAACUACAUCUGGAGAGAAUCACCAUAUGAUUUUUGUCUGCAUUCCUGAAAAAUGUGCUGACUUAUGCUACUGCGUACCUAAUCAGUGUGAAUCGGCGAUGUUCUGUCUCAAAACUGGGAUAUGCAAGCGCGGCAUUCCCUAUUUCCAGAUAGAGAGGCUUUUUCAAAACCAUCCCCAACAUUCCUUUCUUUUCCACGGACUUCAUGGCUCAUUUACUAUCUAUUUCCAUUCCCGGCUUUAAGACAAAGACGAUCCAACAGAAUGCCUUAAGCCCAUGUUGAAUAAUUCUAAUAAAGUCUAAAAUCAUACCAGAACAACUAGUAGGAAUUUUGACUGAACAGGAUCAUAUACAAAACAAUGGAAAUAUCAGAUAGCAGGUUAGGAAUAUUAGAACAGCACACAAUUCUGCAGAAUUUCUAAGAAACAGAAUCAGUUUCUGCCCUACACAAGCUAGCACAGUAGAGUCACAGAAUAAAGAAAGGAACCAGACUAUAGAGAACUCUGAUAAGUUAAAACAGAACAGUUAGAACAAACCUAAACUCUAGUCGAUGGAUUUAUUCCAGUAGCAGAUUCAGCCUGCAGAAAUUGGGCCAAGACUUGAGAGAAAUAUAGACAUAUCUUUACUACCUUAAAAAUUUGCCAUCUGGUAAAUUAAUUAUUUGAUCAUAUGAAUUUUUUGCUGCAAAAUUUUGGGUGGUUAGAACUGGCACAUCAUUUUUUUUUCUGAAUGGUUGGUGGAACAGGAGAAAAUCAUCUAAGAUGGUAUACGAUAUGAUUGAAAUCAGCUACUAAGACAAGUAUGCGAUCCAAAUUAAGUGUAUAUUGUAUACAUUUUGGAAGUGCUAUCAAUCAUGAACAUCGGAAAUGGAGGAAUUUCAAGCUUGGCCACCACCCUAUAAGAUAUGAAUCCAUCUGCAGAUGCCAAAAGUAGCUCAUAUCACUACAAUGUGGCCUGCAAUUCAGUACACAACAUAGCACAUUGAGUUUGGCCUAAUCCAAUAAGCUGAAUGUUUAAUCAUCAUCUUAAAAGCAAAAAAACCAAAAAUGCAUGAAAAGUGAAAACAAUUUACAUUCUGAAGAAAAUUUGUACCCAGAGGCUGUGCUUAACCUUGUAAUUUUCUUUUCCUUCAGUUGAAAGAACAUGGCAUUACAUCGCAACCCAUGUGCGUAGGGAUGAAGAGAAAAAUUGUACUUGUGGAAUGUGUUUGAUCUUGAAAUUCUGUUUGCCUCCAUCACGUUUCAACCUCCGUUCAAGAUCUGGGUGCAAGGGAAGCAUCUCCAGUACUUUUAGUGUGCUGACAUAUUGCAAUCCUUCUGGAAGAAUCAUCAACCGUGGACAAUCGUGGAAGCGGAGGAAUUCUAAGCUUGGCAAUGCCCCUUCUUCAAUCUCUGUCCAUUCUAGUAGAUUCCUAGAAGCAAUAAGAAGUAUCUGUAGCUUGGGAAACCCACCCACCUUGCUAAAGUCUUUUUUUAUUACUUUGACCUCGCAAGCUCUCCACAAUGUCAGAUGUUUCAAGUUGGGAAGAAAUUGAAGUACAGAAAGUUCUUCCUCA